CCCGCCCCGGAAGUAGCGUCUCCCUUGGCCGCUACGGGACGGAAGCUGUGGAUGGCGGGGAAAACAGCCCUGCACCGGCGGAUGUGUUGGCGCUGUUGCUAGACGACGAGCAGUAACUUCGUCACUUCCUCAGCCCGUGGCCCGCCCAGGACCUUAGCCGAGGCGACUGGAGCGGGCUUGAGCUGAAGAGUUGUCCCCCGCCGGUAGGACUCACCACCAGCCCGGCGGCGGGAGUCGGGGCCACGCCACCUACAGGGAGGAACUCGAGCCGAGGCGGGAAGAUGGCUGCAGACAAGCCUGCAGAUCAGGGAGCAGAGAAGCAUGAAGGGGCAGGCCAAUCAUCUGGGGUCACGGACCAGGAGAAGGAGCUGUCCGCCAGUGCCCUCCAGGCCUUCACGUCUGGAAAUUAUGAUGCCUGUCUGCAACACCUUGCCUGUCUCCAAGAUAUAAACAAAGAUGAUUACAAAAUUAUUCUGAAUACAGCAGUAGCUGAAUUUUUUAAAAAUAAUCAAACAACAACAGAUAAUUUGAGACAAACACUUAACCAGCUGAAGAAUCAGGUCCACUCGGCUGUUGAAGAGAUGGAUGGGUUAGACGAUGUUGAGAACAGCAUGCUGUAUUAUAACCAGGCUGUCAUUCUCUAUCAUCUGCGCCAGUACACGGAGGCCAUAUCUGUCGGCGAGAAGCUCUAUCAGUUCAUAGAACCUUUCGAAGAAAAAUUUGCCCAAGCGGUGUGCUUUUUGCUCGUAGACUUGUAUAUAUUAACCCACCAGGCUGAGAAAGCUCUGCAUCUUCUUGCCGUCCUAGAAAAAAUGAUUUCACAGGGUAGCGGUGGCAAAAAUGGGAAGAACGAGACUGGCAAUAACAGCAGCAAAGAUGGAUCCAACCCUAAGGCUGAGAGUGCAGCUCUAAUAGAGGCUGCCAAGUCCAAGAUACACCAGUACAAAGUCAGAGGGUACAUCCAGAUGAAGUCCCUGAAGGCUUGCAAAAGGGAAAUCAAGUCUGUCAUGAACACAGCUGGAAAUUCUGCACCUUCCCUGUUUCUUAAAAGCAACUUUGAGUACUUAAGGGGCAACUAUCGAAAAGCGGUGAAGCUGUUGAAUAGUUCAAACAUUGCCGAGCAUCCAGGCUUCAUGAAGACAGGUGAAUGCUUGAGAUGCAUGUUCUGGAAUAACCUUGGUUGUAUCCAUUUUGCCAUGAGCAAGCACAAUUUGGGGAUUUUCUACUUCAAGAAGGCUCUGCAGGAAAAUGACAACGUCUGCGCCCAGCUCAGUGCGGGUGGCACUGAUCCAGGCAAAAAGUUUUCUGGAAGACCCAUGUGUACAUUGCUGACCAACAAAAGAUAUGAGCUGCUCUACAACUGUGGGAUCCAGCUGCUGCACGUCGGGAGGCCUCUCGCUGCCUUCGAGUGUCUGAUUGAAGCUGUUCAGGUGUACCACGCGAAUCCUCGUCUCUGGCUACGGCUGGCUGAGUGCUGCAUUGCUGCCAAUAAAGGGACUUCUGAGCAAGAAACUAAAGGUCUUCCCACCAAAAAAGGCAUUGUACAGUCUAUUGUUGGUCAGGGAUAUCACCGUAAAAUAGUUCUGGCAUCACAGUCAAUUCAGAACACUGUCUACAAUGAUGGUCAGUCUUCAGCCAUUCCUGUAGCCAGUGUGGAGUUUGCAGCCAUCUGUCUCAGAAAUGCCUUGUUGCUGUUACCUGAAGAACAGCAAGAUCCCAAGCAGGAAAAUGGCUCCAAGAGCAGCAGCCAGCUUGGAGGGAACACGGAAAGCAGCGAGAGCAGCGAGACGUGCAGCAGUAAGAGCCAUGAUGGAGAUAAGUUCAUUCCCGCUCCACCGUCUUCUCCGCUGAGGAAACAGGAGUUAGAAAACCUCAAGUGCUCCAUCCUUGCUUGCAGUGCUUAUGUGGCUCUGGCCUUAGGUGAUAACCUCAUGGCUUUGAACCAUGCAGAUCAGCUCCUGCAGCAGCCCAAGCUGUCUGGCUCUCUUAAAUUUUUGGGCCAUUUAUAUGCCGCAGAAGCCCUCAUCUCCCUCGACAGGAUAUCUGAUGCCAUUACACACUUGAACCCAGAGAAUGUCACUGAUGUCUCCUUAGGGAUCUCUUCAAAUGAGCAGGACCAAGGUUAAUGAGGACACAUUGAUGAGAACUGGUCUCUGUUGCCACUCCCGAGCUGUGUAAUUCAGGACUUGUAGGACCGGAGGGUGUAGCUGUGAAGGGAAGGAAGUGAAGCUGGCUCUCCGCGCUUACAGCUGGUCUUACUGUGUAGUAAUUGUUGGCUACAGAAGGCUGGGCACUGCCUGUCUCAUGGCCUAAGUUCUCACUCAGAGGCUGAGAUGUCAGGAUUCUUCCCUUCCAUUCCCUCCUCCCUUCUUCCUUCCUUCUUCCUCCUUACCUUACCCUUCCUUCCAUCCGUCCGUCCUUCCUUCCUUCCUUUCUUCUUUCCUUUCUUCUUUCUUCCUUGCACCCCACACACAACUCCUUCCCCUCCCUCCCUUGCUCCCAGUUUUUUGUUUUUUUUGUUUUUUUGUUUUUUUAAAGAGAUGUAAUCUCACUGUUUGCCCAGGCAGGCUUCAAACUCCUGGGCUCAUGCCAUCCUCUGACCUGGCUGGACCUUUUGAGUGCUAGGAUUGCAGAUAUUUGUGCCAGCUCACGAGCUUAAGAUUUAUUUUGGUUUGGUUCUGACACUUUUUUUCUAUGAACUGAUUCCACUGUGCAAGAGGGAAUGGAGACAUGGUUUUCAAACAAUUUUCAGUAAUUUUUAAGUAUCUGAAAAUCACCCAUGUGAAUCAGACAUGGGUGAUUCCAUGUGGUCCCCUCUUGAUGACUAACUCACUCAGGUGGGGUGGCAGUGAGGUUGCAUCCUGAUACCUUUAGCAGAGCCUCCACAACUCCAAAAGCAAACACUUGCUCUUGUUAAGUUCCUACUUGGUAAGAGACUUAGGUGUUAGAAGAUGUGCUGUUGUCCUGCCUCAGAUCUAUUUUCAUGUAUUUGUAGGAUCAGACAAGGGUGAAAAUGAAGCAAUGGAAUCCUGUAAGUAAGAAGUUUUGUAAAUCCUUAAGUAGCCUGGCCUGCAUCCCAAAGACUUAGACCCUGCAUCUCUGUGUCCUGCGUGUAUCUGUCAGCCUGAGGAGUAGUGCUUUGUCCCAAGUGCUCAGCGUGGAGCGGUGCUCUCUGUCCUCUGCACAGCCCCUUCAUCCGUAUCUACGCUCUCUCCUCAGCUGGCAAGCGCGCCCCUCAGUGCUACCCCAGUUCUGUGAACUCUGCCCGGACUGUGAUGCUCUUCAACCUGGGCAGUGCCUACUGCCUGAGGAGCGAGUACGACAAGGCCCGAAAGUGUCUGCAUCAGGGAGACUGUCACUGAGACUGAUCCAACUCCCAGGAGACAUGGCAGCUUCCAUACACUGCUCAUACAGGCGGCAUCGAUGAUCCAUCCUAAGGAGGUGCCCCCUGAAGCCAUCCUGCUGGCUGUCUACCUUGAGCUGCAGAAUGGUAAUACACAGCUGGCCUUGCAGAUGAUCAAGCGGAACCAGCUGCUCCCCGCAGUAAAGGCGCACUCUGAUGUGAGGAAGAAGACAGUGUUCCAGCCCGUGCACCCCAUCCAGCCCAUCCAAAUGCCAGCGUUCACCACCGUGCAGAGGAAGUGAGAGCUUGCCUCGGGAGGCCAGGGGAACAUUGUGGCAGGAAGACGGAAGUAGUGCUGGAGAGGAGACUGGAGAGAAACACUGGGCCUGUCCCUGUGAUGCACUUCUGCCAGCAAGGCCACGCCUCCCAGUCCCUGAAGUGUCACUCCCUGAAGAUGAAGCAUUCAAAUAUGAGUCGAUGAGAGCCAUUCUUGUUCACGUCGCCAUAGUUAUGGAGGUUGGACCCAGCACUCAAGACUGUUAUAAAGAAUUUUUGCUUUGGU